rnacentral:rRNA from 1 species
CCUACGGGUGGCUGCAGUCGAGAAUCUUCGGCAAUGGGCGAAAGCCUGACCGAGCGAUGCCGCGUGCGGGAUGAAGGCCCUCGGGUUGUAAACCGCUGUCGUAGAGGAGAAAGGUCUGAUGAAGAAUCAGAUUUGAUCUAUUCUAGGAGGAAGUCGGGGCUAAGUUCGUGCCAGCAGCCGCGGUAACACGAACCCGACGAACGUUAUUCGGAAUUAUUGGGCUGCGAGGGUGCGUAGGCGGGUCGGUAGUGAAAGCCCUCGGCUCAACCGAGGAAGUGCGCUUCAUACUGCCGUGCUGGAGGGAGACAGGGGUAAGCGGAACUGAUGGUGGAGCGGUGAAAUGCGUUGAUAUCAUCAGGAACACCGGUGGCGAAAGCGGCUUACUGGGUCUCUUCUGACGCUGAGGCACGAAAGCUAGGGUAGCGAACGGGAUUAGAUACCCCAGUAGUC